GCCUUCUUGGUGUAACGGUAGCACACUCGGCCCUUAUUCGAAAGUUCCGUGUUCGAGUCCCGGCGAGGGCA
rfam:Stegodyphus mimosarum contig104244, whole genome shotgun sequence.